rnacentral:rRNA from 1 species
AACGAACGCUGGCGGCAUGCCUAACACAUGCAAGUCGAACGAGACCUUCGGGUCUAGUGGCGCACGGGUGCGUAACGCGUGGGAACCUGCCCUUAGGUUCGGAAUAACUCCCCGAAAGGGGUGCUAAUACCGGAUAAUGUUUUCGGACCAAAGAUUUAUCGCCUUUGGAUGGGCCCGCGUUGUAUUAGCUAGUUGGUAGGGUAAAAGCCUACCAAGGCGACGAUCUAUAGCUGGUCUGAGAGGAUGAUCAGCCACACUGGGACUGAGACACGGCCCAGACUCCUACGGGAGGCAGCAGUGGGGAAUAUUGGACAAUGCGCGAAAGACUGAUCCAGCAAUGCCGCGUGAGUGAUGAAGGCCUGAGGGUUGUAAAGCUCUUUUACCCGGGAUGAUAAUGACAGUACCGGGAGAAUAAGCUCCGGCUAACUCCGUG